rnacentral:rRNA from 1 species
UUUGAUCCUGGCUCAGGACGAACGCUGGCGGCGUGCCUAAUACAUGCAAGUCGAGCGAGCUGAAUUCAAAGAUCCCUUCGGGGUGAUUUGUUGGACGCUAGCGGCGGAUGGGUGAGUAACACGUGGGCAAUCUGCCCUAAAGACUGGGAUACCACUUGGAAACAGGUGCUAAUACCGGAUAACAACAUGAAUCGCAUGAUUCAAGUUUGAAAGGCGGCGCAAGCUGUCACUUUAGGAUGAGCCCGCGGCGCAUUAGCUAGUUGGUGGGGUAAAGGCCUACCAAGGCAAUGAUGCGUAGCCGAGUUGAGAGACUGAUCGGCCACAUUGGGACUGAGACACGGCCCAAACUCCUACGGGAGGCAGCAGUAGGGAAUCUUCCACAAUGGACGCAAGUCUGAUGGAGCAACGCCGCGUGAGUGAAGAAGGUCUUCGGAUCGUAAAGCUCUGUUGUUGGUGAAGAAGGAUAGAGGCAGUAACUGGUCUUUAUUUGACGGUAAUCAACCAGAAAGUCACGGCUAACUACGUGCCAGCAGCC